CUUCUCAUUCAAGCGGCUUCAGGAUACGUUUCUUUUACAAAACCCUAGCAUCGGCAAUUAUCUAUCUCCUUCUUCAUAUGGUUGUAAAUGGUCUUACAAUUCAACUGUUUGCACCAUCCACAAAUCCUUUUGGUACACUCUAAUCACAUCUGUCUCCAAUUUAGGGUUUCAACUUUCAAGCAACCGGAACUUCUGUUUAGUUACGGUGAUUAUUCAGUGCUACAUUUGAUUAUUCUAUAAGGGAUUCAGUGUGAUGCCGUGAUCGUUUCAUGAUAUUGGUGAUGUUGAGUUUCAGGACAACUGGGGACGGGUUUGGGUAGACAUUGGUACUUCUGAUUACUUUGCUGUUGAUGUGCUGCUUAAUUGCCUCACUGUACUAAGUUCCGAGUAUUUGGGUAUACAACAGGUGGUCUUUGGAGGUCGGUCAAUGGGUGAUUGGGAAGAGGGAAUGAAAAACCCUGAAGAGGGAUACAAGUACUUUAAGAUCUAAAGAUCGUUGCGCUCAUAACGUGCGUUUAUGGAGAAUUAGAGAGCGAGUCUGAAGUAAGAUCUGAUCAAGUGAAGACAGUGGACUUGUGAAUCCCACAAAGGAGUGAUAUGUGAAUCUAUGGUGCUGAGUUGAUUGAUUCAAUUCUGGAUUUCCACGAGCGAUGAUUGAAGUAGAGAUCUCUAAAGAAAUGGUGUGGUAACUCAAGUGGCGGCUCAACUUCAACCAACCAUCUGGUUAUUCAGUCAUGGUACGUCUUGGGCUGUUUGGGUGCAUAUGGAUUCAUCUAAUUUGCAUGUAACAACCUUCACAACAUAAACGUAGUACCAUGUUUGUUUCAUCAACCUUUGAAUUGUUGGUAUACCGAGUUUUAAGGAUAACAAGUUGGCCUUUAAUUCUGCAAUUGGCAAAUGCAUCAAUGGAAUACAACCCUCUCUAUGAUGCAGAUAAGGGAUUCAGUGUGAUGCCGUCAUCGUUUCAUGAUAUUGGUGAUGUUGAGUUUCAGGACAACUGGGGGCGGGUUUGGUAUAAAUCUCGACACAGUUUCGUUUUUAUUGAUGCAAUCUUUUUUUUUGUAGAAAAAAAAAUGUAUGUGUAUUGCCACCUGAUAGGUGGCUAUGGUAUGGGAAUGAGUGGGCCCAGUGGCCCGUUUGGUGCUCCUUCGUUGUCUCCUUGAUUCUGGAUUUCCUUGAUGUGUGUGGAUUUCAAAUGUCUAGCGAUUCACAAUCUUCCAAAAAAAAAGAAAGUCUCCUGGUGUAAUGACACCUGGAUACCUUUUCAAUCCGACAAUUCUACGAGCACCCAAGUAUCACGUUGUCAUCAGCCUAUUGGUUGAUGUAGAAAUUGUGCAAAUUAAGUCUGGAAUAUAAGAACAAGAAUCGGGCCAUGUAUACAAAUGUCCUCACUUUCAAGCGAGUCCGGAAUCUUAUCAACACACAAUGUAUGAUCUCUUCGCCUUUUCUACUUAUAUACUUUAAAAAAUAUUCACACACAAGAAUCACACUCAUGAUGAUGAGACACAUCAUAUGUUGGAUGUUCUGGACCCUGGCACAAAGAAACAAUGGUAAAGGAACCAAGUCAGGUUUUAAGUGAAUUCAAACAAGUCAAUCGUCAAGAUGAUGAAGAGGGAAAGGAGUUCGCAAAUACAUGAUGCAAAAUAUUCUGAAUGUGGUUACAUGCUACCUGAACAUGGGAGACUGUCGAAAGUCAAUGGAGACGUGUGUAAUAAAGUAGUAGAUGCUAAUCCUGUUCAUGGUAAAGCAUUGUAUCGAAGAUGAAUGGCUUACAUUGAGGCUGGUGAUUUUCAUGUUGUUAAUUAGUAAUUACAUUGUCAUAUAACCAAGUAAGGAUGGGAUGGGGAUCGUACCGUAUCGAUACCGGUACUAAAAAUACUGAUUCCAAGUGAGUAUGGAGUAUCCGUGCAUUGCCGGUACGGUAUCUCAAGUAUUAUAAAUGUUUCAUUUAUAGAUUUGUUAAGGAGAUCUAAAUGGAUUUAUUUAACUACUCUUUAGAAUGAAACGUUUGUCUGACAAUCAUCUAGAAUACUUGUAGAUGAUAAAUAGAUCUUGUGGAUCUUAAUUUUACCCUCAUUUUAUUUCUAAUGUUGAUUAGGACAAAUAGGUGUUUUAUAAUUCAUGUAGUUGGUCAGUCAAUGCAUUUCAUUUGAAGACAAGAGCUGAAGAUAAAUCCACAUGAGUUUAUGAAGAUCACUAACACAAUUUACUACAAGGCAUCCCAGUGGACAUCUUCAGGUGAAAAUAGGUUGUGUAGUGAGAUGGAGGAAGAUGCGGAUCACCUGCUCGUGUCAUGCUACAUCGCUUUGGGGGUUAGAUAGAAGGUAAGUCUUUGGUGCAGCAUCCCUUAUUUUUCAGGUACAAAGGUGAGGGAGCUGUUCAAAUUUUAUUAAGCAGAAGGCAUAUUGGAAAAUAAAAGAAAGUUGGUGCAAUGAUUGUUAUUGUGUCAUCUUGUGAGAUUUGAAAAGCACGAAACGAAUUGAUGUUCUCAGGAAAGCGGGUAUCAGUUGAUCGGAUAUUCGCGUAAACUCAGGCGAUGUCGUUCAUGUGACUGAAACAUCGGGCGAACCGACCAGGGUUAGAGUGGCGAAGUGGCUAAACUUUGAUGUUUUGUGUUGAUCUGUAAUUGGAGUAUGGGGUGAGUUAUGUACUGGGUAUGGGUUUAAUGGGUACUAGCGACUUACUGGUACAUGCCCUUGUAACGUAUAUAAAUUUGGUGUGGAAUAAAAUCAUUGUUUGCCAUCCAAAAUAAAAGUAGUUUCUUUUCUUUAA